rnacentral:lncRNA from 1 species
AUAUGUCAAACUCAAUUUCAUAUUCAUAUUUUUCUCAAUCUUUUAAUGAUAAUUCAAAUAAUGAAACAUUAGAAACUCUUUCUAAUUUUCAUUCUGCUUUGAUCAAAGGCUUCCUGAAUUAUCAUAUGAUUAGAAUAAAUAGGAUGCUAUCUUCUCUUACUAGAAGUGAUUAAUUCCUUGUUGACCUACUCAUAAUCUUCGUACACAAUCCACCAUAUCCAGAAGACCUCGUACAUAACUUAUUGUCAUGAAUGAGUGUAAACCAAAACAUAGGUUCAUGUGCACAAGAUACCAUGGUGAUCUCAGGUCAAAGGAUCAGUUGCACAACUCCCACUAAGAGAAUCAUCUUUUGUACAUGUAAGUAAGACUUCAUAAGAUUUCUCUUUGUAGGUCCAUUCAGUGAACUCAU